CACACCGCCCGUCACACCAUGGGAGUUGGCAUUACCCGAAGGCGCUGCGCUAACCCGCAAGGGAGGCAGGCGACCACGGUAGGGUCAGCGACUGGGGNG
rnacentral:rRNA from 1 species